rnacentral:tRNA from 1 species
GGAGACUACAGCUCAGGUGGUAGAGCACAUGCUUAGCAUGCAUGAGGUCCUGGGUUCAAUCCCUGGUACCUCCA